AAAGCCCCGGGCUCAACCUGGGAACGGCAUCUGGACCGGCCAAGCUAGAGUGCAGAGAGGGAAGGUGGAAUUCCCGGUGUAGCGGUGAAAUGCGUAGAGAUCGGGAGGAAUACCAGUGGCGAAGGCGGCCUUCUGGCCUGACACUGACACUGAGGUGCGAAAGCGUGGGUAGCAAACAGGAUUAGAUACCCUGGUAGUCCACGCCGUAAACGAUGUCGACUAGCCGUUGGGACCUUUAAGGACUUAGUGGCGCAGUUAACGCGAUAAGUCGACCGCCUGGGGAGUACGGCCGCAAGGUUAAAACUCAAAUGAAUUGACGGGGGCCCGCACAAGCGGUGGAGCAUGUGGUUUAAUUCGAUGCAACGCGAAGAACCUUACCUACCCUUGACAUCCUGCGAACCCGGAAGAGAUUCCGGGGUGCCUUCGGGAACGCAGUGACAGGUGCUGCAUGGCUGUCGUCAGCUCGUGUUGUGAAAUGUUGGGUUAAGUCCCGUAACGAGCGCAACCCUUGUCCUUAUUUGCCAGCGAUUCGGUCGGGAACUCUAAGGAGACUGCCGGUGACAAACCGGAGGAAGGUGGGGACGACGUCAAGUCAUCAUGGCCCUUACGGGUAGGGCUACACACGUGCUACAAUGGCCGGUACAAAGGGUUGCGAGACCGCGAGGUGGAGCGAAUCCCAUAAAGCCGGCCUCAGUCCGGAUCGGAGUCUGCAACUCGACUCCGUGAAGUCGGAAUCGCUAGUAAUCGUGAAUCAGAAUGUCACGGUGAAUACGUUCCCGGGCCUUGUACACACCGCCCGUCACACCAUGGGAGUGGACUGCACCAGAAGUGGUUAGCUUAACCUUCGGGAGAGCGAUCACCACGGUGUGGUUCAUGACUGGGGUGAAGUCGUAACAAGGUAACC
rnacentral:rRNA from 1 species